AGCGUAGGCGGACUUUUAAGUGAGAUGUGAAAUACCCGGGCUCAACUUGGGUGCUGCAUUUCAAACUGGAAGUCUAGAGUGCAGGAGAGGAGAAUGGAAUUCCUAGUGUAGCGGUGAAAUGCGUAGAGAUUAGGAAGAACACCAGUGGCGAAGGCGAUUCUCUGGACUGUAACUGACGCUGAGGCUCGAAGGCGUGGGGAGCAAACA
rnacentral:rRNA from 1 species